CAGCAUUGUGUGAAUACAGUCACUGUAAGUCUAUCAUCAAGUGUCAGGUUACCUCUGGGCAUGGUGAAGUCUAGUUUCUGGACCUGCAGGGCUAUGAGGAACAGAUUCUGGACUGUGGUCUCAGUCUGUUGCCCAGGUUGCAGUGCAAUGGCACGAUCUCAGCUCACUGAAACCUCCGCCUCCCAGGUUCAAGCGAUUCUCCUGCCUCAGCCUCCGGAGUAGCUGGGAUUACAGACAUACGGCAUCACGCCCAGCUAAUUAUUAUAGAUUGGUCCUGGUUCUUUGGUUGGCCAGACCAUCCUGUAAAACACUGGCAAGCCAGAAAUCAUCAAGAGUCACCCCUGGAACUUGGGUCAUACACUUGCAGGCACUUGAAUGAACGUGGAGAAUUACUUGGAGAAUCACCAAGGGUAGACACAAGACUCUCUUUAGAUAACAGAAAGGCACUUAGGGAGAAGGAGAAUUGUAAAUUACUUUGUUAUUACUCCAAAGGGCAGAAUUAGGUUUAGAUACCAGGUUACUAAAAAAAAAUUUAGCAACCAGUAAUAACCAAGGAGAAUAGUAGUUACUGGAGGUGUUUAGUUACAUGCCGGGGGAUCAAGAAAGAGAAGGCCAUCCCUGAGUGCUGGGUUAGCUUCAUACAUGUAGCUUCUAACCUCCUUUAGGCUUCAGGAUUCUGGACAUUGAACCGUGCUUCCUUUAUCAACAAUGAUAUGGAAAGCUGAGUAUCUGGAAGGACUACUAAAGGAAUUCUUUUUCAGAAACUUUUGCCACGUAUUAGGGAACCUACUUCAGUCUGAAGUCCUCAGCAGCCAGUUUAGCAUUAUCAAUUUGCAGGACACACCGAGCAUUUUGCAGUUGAGCAUCCUUAAUCUGGAAAAUACAUGAGAAAGAAUGACAUUUUCUUUUUUAUUUAUUUAUUUAUUUAUUUAUUUAUUUAUUUAUUGAGACAGAAUCUUGCUCUGUUGCCCAGACUGGAGUGCAAUGGUACGAUCUCGGCUCACUGUAACCUCUGCCUCCCAGGUUCAAGCAAUUAUCCUGCCUCAGCCUCCCGAGUAGCUGGGGUUACAGGCAUCCGCCACCAUGCCCGGCUAAUUUUUGCAUUUUUAGUAGAGACAGCAUUUUGCCAUGUUGGCCAGGCUGGUCUUGAAGUUCUGACCUCAGGUGAUCUGCCUGCCUCGGCCUCCCAAAGUGCUGGGAUUACAGGCGUGAGCCACCGUGCCCGGCCAAGAAUGACAUUUUCAACUGGAUAGGAGUUUACAAGGAUUUAGUUUAUCCCCAGCUACAGUGACUAUUAUGUCAAAAAUGAUGUUCAUUUCAAGUAUUUCUACAUGAAAAUAUAUAGAAAAAAUAAUGACAUAGUUAUUUAACAUAACAGAGUCAUAAAAUGCAACUCUAGAUGCCCCAGGGUUUGGUCUACUUUCUUGUGAUUUUACAGAAGGAUAAUUUAACUCAACUUGAGUCAUCACACCUUAUUGAGUGCCUUGCCUUUGAUGUUUCUACUUAGGACAUUUCUUUUAGCCCCUGUGGUCUGGUGAACUCCCAUUCCUCCCUCAUGUCUCAGGUUCGACAACAUUGCUUCAUAGGAGCCUUCACAGAUGCUCUCAAAACUGAACUGGAUGAUCUGCCUGUGCUCUCAUUAUCCCUCUGUGUGCUGGUCCCUCUGUCCAUCCCUGUAUCCUCAUAAAUCAUAUUGUGUCCACCAUAAUAUUCCUCAGUCCCCAGCAUGGUGCCCAGCACCUAGUUAGUGUUCAUUCAGUAUUGGCUGAAUGAAAGAACAUGAUGCAUGAAAGAACGAAAUGCAUGAUGGAGGCAUAUAGAUGAAAAAUCUACUUGCAGAAGAUGUUACAAUGACAUUUCUCUUUCAAUGGACCCAGUUUUGGAGAGGGCUGCUUCCUAUGGUUGGGACUGUCCAGCUCAAUGGGACGGAUGGCCUGUGCCUGUGUAUUUCAGAUGAACCAAACUAGAGUCAGAAACACGAGACAGGUGUGGUUCGAACAUUUUUAGUGAGAGCUUGCGAAGGAUGAACUUUAUUCCGGAAGGGCUAUUUAAAUGCCAUUGCUUCACAUGCCCAUAGUUUCUAAAAUUCCAAAGUAACUUCCCAUGGAGUCCGAAUCAAAUUGCCCUGAUGUUUAGUACAACUCAAGAAAAACAGACUUGCUGGUAAGUAAAUGCGCUUUGCUCUAAAGGAGUAUGAAUCUUAACACAAAUUACAGUGAACACUUUUCUUAAUUAGAUAAGAACUUUAAUUUGAAGCAAGUGCUCUGUGUCAUAUCUGAAAUUUUCAAUUAGGAGCAAAGUCUUCUGCUUUUAUUCCAUGAAACUGAUAAAAUACAGAGCUCCACCCUUUUUUUGAUGACAUAGGAGGAGGUUGUGAUAUGAUUGUAAUAAACAUGAAUUGGGGGCAAUAGAACAUUUUAUUACUGUAGAAGUAGUUUCUGAACUGCUUGAUGCUGAUGGUCAUGUUAUUAAACAGGGCACUUAAAAAUCCAGGCAUCAUUAAGACCCAUAUUCCUGCCACACUGUUUCCACCCAGAAUCACUUUGCUAUUUAAAUCUGCAGUACAGUAUUCUAAUAGUCAUAUUAUAACAUUUACUUAAAUAAAAGGAGAAAAGUCUUUGAAUUUACUGGGGUUUCAAAACUUGAUAAGGACUAGGUGAAAAACUAAGAGAGAUUUAUCACGUAAUUAAUUUUUAGCUCUUUUCAGAAAGAUUGUUCACUAUACAUUUAGCCCUGAUGUGAUAAGCUGUGACAAAGAUUCAUUUUAUUCCGGAGGAUAAAAUGUUCAUAUUUUGUAUGUAAUUGUGUUAAACAUUAAAAAUAGCAUGAUUUAAGGUCAUCCUGUUGUACAGUCAGGUACUCCAGCACUAAAGGUAGAUGAAAGAAUUUUUAUAGAUGUAACAUUUUAGCCUAAUUUGCUUUACAAAGUCCAUUUGGACCUACCUAACAUAGAUAACCUCUUGAUUUAUCUUGAAGCUAAACACAGAGUAGGAAACACAAGCAUCAUCUCUCACCUGACUUCGCAGCUCUUCAAUUUGUCUGUAAUAUGCACUGUAGUCGCGACCAGCCCUCGGGGCGUUGGUUUCGUACCACUGCUUGAUUUGCACUUCAAGUUUGGAGUUGGACUGCUCCAGGGUCCGCACCUUUUCUAGGUAGCUCGCUAGACGGUCAUUUAGGUUCUGCAUGGCCAUUUUCUCAUUGCCAACAAACAGGUCCCCGCCGCCUGUGAGAUCGCUCCCAUAGUUCACCGUGUGUCUGGAGUUGGAGAUGCGGAUGCCCCGGCCUCCAGCACCCCCAUAAACGCUGGGUGUCGUCCCGAGGCGCUGCAUGCCCACUGUACUGACUACAGGGGCCUGCAAGGAGGAGCUCAGGCUUCUGUGGAAGCUUCUGCGACUGAAAUCCAUUGGAGAUUCCAGGAGGGAGCACCUGUAGCUUCAGGAUGGUUGGGGCAGAGUGUGUCUCAUGGAGGGUGUUGAGCUAGCCUUUUAUGAAGUCCACAGGCAAGAAACUCCUCCUCUGCUGACAUGUCACUAGGAUUGGCACCACAGUCCACCUUGCCUUACUUCCACGCCCCCCGCUUUGUAUAGCAAUAUGUUAAUAUGCUUAAUUCAAUUCCAGAAAAUACCACUAGAGGCAUUUCUUGGAGGCUUUUAUCAGGGGCAACUUUUUUUUUUUUUUAAUUAAACAGGUAAUAAAAGGAAACAGGAAAGUGUAUUCUUUUAGCCCAUGCGCCUGCCUUGGCAGGUUUUUUUCAUCCUAACAUACACACAAAGAAUAUUUACAAUCCUCAUGUAUAAUUUAGGUAUCUAAAAAGGCAGAUGUGCCUACAUAACUGAAAGUCACAAUGGAGAUAAAGGACAAUGUUUGAUUUGUAUUGAGGAGUUGCUCUUCAGAACCUCUGUUUCAUGCUUUGCUUGUGUUUGGCUUUUAAGUUUAUUGUGUUUUGGACAUCUUAUUUUAUAAGACUAUUAAAAUAUUUUGUACAAACACAAAACCUCGAAUCCCUAAACCAGGAAUGAAACCAUUGUACAUUUGGAGAUGUAGUUUGGGGAUGUGAAUUAAAUGAAUUUAGCUGAGUGAUGGAUUAGAUGAUUUGGGAGGUUAUUUUCUUUCUAUUUCUAAUGUUCUAUGACUAAAUAUUGCAUUUUAGGUUUCCAGUCACCACCUGGCUUCAAGUCCUGUUACCAAGACACUUAGAAUAAAUCACACAGUGCUUUGUACCUGGCAUGGUAUCAGGAUGGGUCUCCUCUUUUGUAUGAGGCCAGCUUAACACCCACCAUGAGACAGACUCUGCCCCAUCCAUCCUGAAGCUACUUACAGGUGCUCCUUCUAAAGUCCCCAGUGGAUUUCAGUUGCAGAAGCUUCCAUGGAAGCCUGAUCUUCCUUGUAUGCCCCCAUAAUCACAGCGAGAGUGGCUGUUUAUAUAGGAAGGGGUGCAGGCGGGGACUUGGGACUACACUCAGCUUCCAGGGUUGGGCUGGAGGCAGCUGCUUGUGUGUGGACCUCUAGACACAUGGGCAUGAUCUCAUCGGUGGGAAUCUGAUUGUAAGCAACCAAUAAAUGCCUGAGUCACUUGCUUCCCUUCAUUCAAACCCCCUGGCUGAGAAUUCACACUUCCCAUGAAGCAUGUAAAUCACUUCCUUAGUUAAUUAGAUAAUCACUAAUUAAUAUAAUUAGAUAAUCAGUUAAUCACUUCCAAGUUAAUUAGAAGGGAUUGGAAAAGUCACUAAAAACAUCUAAUUAAUUGUCAUCCUGAUACUUUAAUGGAAUUGAGAUUUGUAUAUAAUUAAGCAAGCAAGUAAAUGCAAAAAAAAUUGGAAUUUAAUUGUCUUAUUUUAGUGGCUUAUUUGUUGUUGCUGUUGUUCUGAAAGCCAGUCACUUAAAAAAAAUUUUUUUUGAGUUUUUAGAAACCAGUGGCUUUUUUACUUUUGAGUUUAAAUUUCUUUUACACACAACUUUCUUCUAAAAUAAGGUCAGAUCAUAUUAUUUCUCUCUUAUAAACAGUAUACUUUAAAAUAAUACAUUGUGUUUGAUUUUAUCUUAGUUAUAUCACAGAAAUAAAAAUUGAGAUAAAAUGGAAUCUAUUUUAUGCAUUUUAUGGUAUAUGUGUGGGCAGCUCUUAUAUUUUUAUCCAUUCAUGUAUUCAUCAGCCAAUACUGAGUACUCACCACCAAUGACUGGACUGGUAGCAAGAAGACCUUGCUAACUUAUUAGAGUUAUAAAUUACUUUGUUAAUAGAUGUCACAGCUAAACUCUGUAGCAGAGAAGAACUUUUUAUAAACACAUGAACUAUGUUCUUUAUACAUGUAUUCAAAGAUGAAUUGUUUUUGGUGUUGAUUAAUGGGGUAGGAGGUUGUUAGAUUAAAGUCAUUGGAAAAUUAUACUAUUUAAAUUACACAAGUUUUAUAGUAAGUUGGUCUCAGCUAAGAGUUUCAUAUGCUAACACAUGAUCAAGGUGUGUAGAAGCAUUAUAAAAUCAAUAGUUAGCUUUAUAAUUAGAAAAGAACAUGAAUGCAGUUGUUAAACAUGAUGAUUUUUGUUCUCUUUUGUAGCACAAUUCUUCCUUAUGGCUGGACCUAUUUAUAUCAAAGAGUUGAAAAUCCCAUUUUUAGUUAUUUUCCAUUUUAUUUUUAUUUUGAGACAGGGUCUCACUGUGUGACCCAGGCUGGAGUGCAGUGACACAAUCACAGCUCACUGCAGCCUUGACCUCCCAGGCUCAAGUGAUCCUCCUGCUUCAGCCUCUCAAGUAGCUGGGACUACAGGCACACACGCCAUGCUUACAUAAUUUUUAUUUAUUUAUUUUUGGUAGAAACAGGGUCCCACUAUGUUGCCCAGGCUGGACUCAAACUCCUGAGCUCAAGUGAUCCUCCCACCCC
rnacentral:lncRNA from 1 species